CACGUAGGGGACGAGCGUUGUCCGGAUUCAUUGGGCGUAAAGCGCGCGUAGGCGGGCUUUCAAGUCGGUUGUGAAAUCCCUCAGCUCAACUGAGGAACUGCAUCCGAUACUGUUUGUCUUGAGGACGAGAGGGGAGAGUGGAACUUCUGGUGGAGCGGUGAAAUGCGUAGAUAUCAGAAGGAACGCCGGUGGCGAAAGCGACUCUCUGGCUCGUAUCUGACGCUGAUGCGCGAAAGCGUUGGGUAGCAAACGGG
rnacentral:rRNA from 1 species